UACGAAGGGGGCUAGCGUUGCUCGGAAUCACUGGGCGUAAAGCGCACGUCGGCGGCUUCUUAAGUCAGUGGUGAAAGCCCGGAGCUCAACUCCGGAACUGCCAUUGAAACUGUGAAACUUGAGGAUGAGAGAGGUGAGUGGAAUUCCCAGUGUAGAGGUGAAAUUCGUAGAUAUUGGGAAGAACACCGGUGGCGAAGGCGGCUCACUGGCUCAUUUCUGACGCUCAGGCGCGACAGCGUGGGGAUCAAACAGG
rnacentral:rRNA from 1 species